rnacentral:rRNA from 1 species
UACGUAGGUGGCAAGCGUUGUCCGGAAUUACUGGGCGUAAAGGGCGUGUAGGCGGUUACUUAAGUCAGAUGUGAAAUAUCCGGGCUCAACCCGGAGGGUGCAUCUGAUACUGGGUAACUUGAGUGCAGGAGAGGGUAGUGGAAUUCCUAGUGUAGCGGUGAAAUGCGUAGAUAUUAGGAGGAACACCAGUGGCGAAGGCGGCUACCUGGACUGUAACUGACGCUGAGGCGCGAAAGCGUGGGGAG